GACGAACGCUGGCGGCGUGCUUAACACAUGCAAGUCGAACGGGUCUGCCCUGUUUUUUGCGGGGUGGGUCAGUGGCGAACGGGUGAGUAACACGUGAGUAACCUGCCCCUCACUUCUGGAUAACCGCUUGAAAGGGUGGCUAAUACGGGGUGUUCUGGCUGUGCCGCAUGGUGUGGCUGGGAAAGAUUCACUUUUGUGGUGUUUUGGUGGGGGAUGGGCUCGCGGCCUAUCAGCUUGUUGGUGGGGUGAUGGCCUGCCAAGGCUUUGACGGGUAGCCGGCCUGGGAGGGUGGGCGGUCACACUGGGACUGAGGUACGGCCCAGACUCCUGCGGGGGGCAGCAGUGGGGGGUAUUGCACAAUGGGCGGAAGCCUGAUGCAGCGACGUCGCGUGAGGGAUGGAGGCCUUCGGGUUGUGAACCUCUUUCGCCGGUGAAGAAGGUCCUGCUCUUUGUGGUGGGGUUGACGGUAGCCGGGUUAUGAAGCGCCGGCUAACUACGUG
rnacentral:rRNA from 1 species